GUUUUAAUAAUUUAAAUAAAAAUAUUGGUCUUGUAAACCAACAAUGAGGUUUCUCUUAAAACU
rnacentral:tRNA from 1 species